rnacentral:rRNA from 1 species
UCAGGAUGAACGCUGGCGGCGUGCCUAAUACAUGCAAGUCGAGCGAACGGACAGGAGUGCUUGCACUCCUUGAAGUUAGCGGCGGACGGGUGAGUAACACGUGGGUAACCUACCUAUAAGACUGGGAUAACUUCGGGAAACCGGAGCUAAUACCGGAUAAUAUAUACCUCCGCAUGGAGGAAUAGUCAAAGACGGUUCUGCUGUCACUUAUAGAUGGACCCGCGGUGUAUUAGCUAGUUGGUGAGGUAACGGCUCACCAAGGCAACGAUACAUAGCCGACCUGAGAGGGUGAUCGGCCACACUGGGACUGAGACACGGCCCAGACUCCUACGGGAGGCAGCAGUAGGGAAUCUUCCGCAAUGGACGAAAGUCUGACGGAGCAACGCCGCGUGAGUGAAGAAGGUUUUCGGAUCGUAAAACUCUGUUGUAAGGGAAGAACAAGUACGUUAGUAACUGAACGUACCUGACG